rnacentral:lncRNA from 1 species
AGAGAGAGGGAGAGAGGACUGAGGGAGAGGGAGAGAGAGGACUGUCACUGGUAUAGAGGGACAGUAAGACCCACGGAUCCAGGGAGCGACCGCAGUCAUCACCCCCAGGGAGAGGACUCUGAAACGGGGGACAGAUCCAGCUCACAGGCCCUCGGAUCACAAGCAGCCACACGUCUACUGGCCUUGGUGUUGACUUCGCUACUGACGACACUUUACAUGUACCUACCUAGCUGUUAACGUCAACAAUCUGCUGGUGACCCCCCUUCCAAACGCUUUCAUUUCCUGUUACCUGUGGACCCGUCUGAGGUGAAGAGGAGGGUAAAGAGAACCUCUAGACGUUCUAGAACUAGAACAGAACUGUGUCUGAUGUUCUAGAAGGAGACGGGAUGAUGUCAGACAGGAAGAGGAUAUGACAAUCAUAUAUAUAUAUAUACCUGACUAUACCUGCCAUUAAGUUUCACUAACAACCUAAUACUGAGAUAUUUAACAAAGUCUAAUGUCUCUGGCCUGAAAUACUCUCCUCCUCU